rnacentral:tRNA from 1 species
GGGAAUAUAGUUCAGUGAUAGAGGGCCUGCCUUGCAUGCAUGAGGCCCUGGGUUCGACCUCUAGUUUCCCCU